rnacentral:rRNA from 1 species
GCAUAUCAAUAAGCGGAGGAAAAGAAACCAACAGGGAUUACCUCAGUAACGGCGAGUGAAGCGGUAACAGCUCAAAUUUGAAAGCUAGCUCUUCUAGGGUUCGCAUUGUAAUUUGUAGAAGAUGCUUCGGGUGUGGCCCCGGUCUAAGUUCCUUGGAACAGGACGUCAUAGAGGGUGAGAAUCCCGUAUGUGACUGGGUGCUUUCGCUCAUGUGAAGCUCUUUCGACGAGUCGAGUUGUUUGGGAAUGCAGCUCAAAAUGGGUGGUAAAUUUCAUCUAAAGCUAAAUAUUGGCCAGAGACCGAUAGCGCACAAGUAGAGUGAUCGAAAGAUGAAAAGCACUUUGGAAAGAGAGUUAAACAGUACGUGAAAUUGUUGAAAGGGAAGCGCUUGCAACCAGACUUGCGCGCUGAUGAUCAUCCGGGCUUCUGUCCGGUGCACUCGUCUGCGCUCAGGCCAGCAUCGGUUUCGGUGGUGGGAUAAAGGCCUUGGGAAUGUAGCUUCUUUCGGGGAGUGUUAUAGCCCUCGGUGCAAUGCCGCCUACCGGGACCGAGGACCGCGCUYCGGCUAGGAUGCUGGCGUAAUGGUUGUAAGCGACCCGUCUUGAAACACGGACC